rnacentral:lncRNA from 9 species
CCAUGUCUCUGAAAUUUUCUUGCCAUUUGUGUUUAAUGAAACCUUCUGGGCUCCCAGCAGGUGCUCCCAGAAGCCUCAUGGAAAACAGAUUAUACUCAGCUCUCUGGGAUCUGAUGAAUCGAUAUAAUAGGAGGGCAUUGAAAAGCAGAAGUGGAACAUCUAGAUUUCAAGAUGGAUCAAGAAAACCGUCGGAGCUUGAGAAGCCACUUUCUCCUUGACCCACACACUGCUUGAUCUCUUGGAAACUGCCAACCCUGGAAAGAAGCAUUUUUGACUUCCCGUCUGGCCUGGAUGAAACACAAAGGGAACUUAAGGCAAGAGAUAUUUUAAUGUCUUUUUCUACUUUCUUUCAGUCUCUGUGAUAGCCACCUAAAUCCACAGGCUGAGGGCUAAUGCAUGUGGAAAGGAAACGAAAUCUUCUCAGCAUGUGUGCUCCUCUGACAUUUUGAUUAGCGCAGAGAAAUUGGAAGGCAGCACAUCCCCUAAACCACCUUUCUAAUAACAUACCUUUGCGCGCUUCUCGGAAAGUUCAGUGGCACUCCUUUGAGUCUGCUGGGGAAGUUGGCAAAGGAUUUUAAGAGUAAUCAGACCCACAGAAACACAUUUGUCCAGUGCGUCUGCAAAUGUCUCCAUGAUUU